rnacentral:rRNA from 1 species
GACGUAGGGUGCGAGCGUUGUCCGGAUUUAUUGGGCGUAAAGAGCUCGUAGGCGGUCUGUCGCGUCGGCUGUGAAAUCCCGAGGCUCAACCUCGGGUCUGCAGUCGAUACGGGCAAACUAGAGUAUUGCAGGGGAGACUGGAAUUCCUGGUGUAGCGGUGAAAUGCGCAGAUAUCAGGAGGAACACCGGUGGCGAAGGCGGGUCUCUGGGCCGAUACUGACGCUGAGGAGCGAAAGCGUGGGGAGCGAACAGG